GUACUGAUGAAGAGUCCCAAAACAGGUCAAAACAGCUGUCCAGUAC
rnacentral:hammerhead_ribozyme from 1 species